ACGGGUGAGUAACACGUGGGUAACCUACCCAUCAGAGGGGGAUAACACUUGGAAACAGGUGCUAAUACCGCAUAACAGUUUAUGCCGCAUGGCAUAAGAGUGAAAGGCGCUUUCGGGUGUCGCUGAUGGAUGGACCCGCGGUGCAUUAGCUAGUUGGUGAGGUAACGGCUCACCAAGGCCACGAUGCAUAGCCGACCUGAGAGGGUGAUCGGCCACACUGGGACUGAGACACGGCCCAGACUCCUACGGGAGGCAGCAGUAGGGAAUCUUCGGCAAUGGACGAAAGUCUGACCGAGCAACGCCGCGUGAGUGAAGAAGGUUUUCGGAUCGUAAAACUCUGUUGUUAGAGAAGAACAAGGACGUUAGUAACUGAACGUCCCCUGACGGUAUCUAACCAGAAAGCCACGGCUAACUACGUGCCAGCAGCCGCGGUAAUACGUAGGUGGCAAGCGUUGUCCGGAUUUAUUGGGCGUAAAGCGAGCGCAGGCGGUUUCUUAAGUCUGAUGUGAAAGCCCCCGGCUCAACCGGGGAGGGUCAUUGGAAACUGGGAGACUUGAGUGCAGAAGAGGA
rnacentral:rRNA from 1 species